AGGGGCGGAAAGGCCGCGGUGCCCUGAGGCCGAGCUCGGGGCUCGCGCUCCGCGGCUUUGCGGUUUGUUAAAAAGCCCUUCUCCUAAAGCUGCCGCCAGCUGGACGCGUAACUCGGGAGUGAGCGAAAUUCAUAGCAAUGAUUCCCGCCCGCCGGCUGCUCUGAGCGGGCGGGAAUCAUUGGCUCUCGCUCAGGAACACUCGGUGUGAGCUGGGGAUGGAGCGGUGCUGGAGGCAUUUUGGAUUAUUUGGCAUGUGAAUGGACACCUCUGACCUCAGGGAGACUCUUCUGUCUGAGCCAACAAGCUGCUUUCCCAGCUGCGGCCUCAGACACAUGAAUGCCUUCCACCAGGAUUAAACACUCAAGUUUUGGGGAAAAACAUGCCAAGUUAUGCCAUCAGCACCUCUGACAGCCAUCCUACUAACUCAUCUGAUCUCCAUUCCUGCUCCAUUCAUAAUUACAGCAGUGAGCAUACCUGUAGUGCUUGCGUUUUGAAUGUAUGUUCUGCAUGUUGAUUCAUUUACUAAUUACAUUUAGUAAUUAUUUAAAAAACCCUAAUCCUUU